GCGCAUUAAUUUUGCUCGUCUCUCAGGGCUAUAAGCUUUGUAAUUCGCAUAGAUUGGGUAGUCGCAAGACAACUGUUUACUGCGGACUCAGUCAGGUGGGCCACGACUUCGUUUUCAAAAUUGAAUUCUGCGGGGGUGGAUGUCAUCUUUCCAGAGCUUCAGCAACAAGGGGACGUUCUACUGUCCUACCUUGUUCAUCUUGUUCUAUCCCUGAACCAUGGAGGACAGCGAGGUGAUCUUUGCACCGAAGUCUACCAGGAACUUCAAAUGGAUUUGAAUGGUCUCUUAAAUGCCUUCUUCUAAUAUUUUAAAUGCAGUUUCGAUGUGGAAGAGACAAACUAACAGCUAGUUAAAAUCAUUAGGUUUGUAAAAACGAAAUCACGGUUUCCAAUGGCAACAUCUUAACAAAUCUGUUUUUAUUUCCAAAACCUCUGAUAAGAAUAUUAUUAUAGUUAAAUCCAAGAAUCCACACUUUGUUGGCAAUUAAUAUUUUAACAACGAAGUGAAGAAAGCAAUGGGUAUUUAAGAUUGAACGUUUUUUUCAAUACUUGUCUAAUAAAAAUGGUGUCGGCUACUGGGCAAGCGUAAAAAGUUGACAAGUGCUCAAUAUUUUGCUUCACUUUACGUUGCGUUGCCUCAAUGUGAACGAACUGAUACAAAUGUGUAUGUACAUCGAACUUUUUCGUUAAAGCAAAUAUCCAAAGGAGAGCCCAGCAAAAGUUGUGUGUAAAUCAGCCAUUACGGGAGAUAUGCAAGGCUGGGAGAGGUCAAACUCCCGAUUCCUGGCUUUCAAGUCCUUGAUAU